rnacentral:rRNA from 1 species
UACGAAGGGGGCUAGCGUUGUUCGGAAUCACUGGGCGUAAAGAGCGUGUAGGCGGCCUGACAGGUCUGCUGUGAAAACUCGAGGCUCAACCUCGAGAUGUCGGCGGAAACCGUCUGGCUAGAGUCCGGAAGAGGAGAGUGGAAUUCCUGGUGUAGCGGUGAAAUGCGCAGAUAUCAGGAGGAACACCGGUGGCGAAGGCGGGUCUCUGGGCCGAUACUGACGCUGAGGAGCGAAAGCGUGGGGAGCGAACAGG